GGGGAUUUAGCUCAGUGGUAGAGCCCUUGCCUAGGAAGCGCAAGGUCCUGGGUUCAGUCCCCA
rfam:Rattus norvegicus chromosome 20, whole genome shotgun sequence.